UAGGCAUAGCAUGAUUGUAUCUCAUUCUUAAUAUGUUCAACAUAUUUCUUCCUUGUCGCCUCAUCUUGCCUCAAUGACUUAAAAUUGGAAAGAACGCGGACAACUGGAACAACAAAAGCAACAUCUCAAAAUACAGUUCAAAUUUGUUCCCAAGAACAAUAAUAAUAGCCAUUUAAAAAAACGUUAACUUACUCUCUAAUCCUCCUUUUAAGAUUGGAAAGAUCGGGGGACGCAAGAUGGAGUGAUCAUAUCUCUGUUUCUCUUGCUGCUACAAGUACUUCGACUACUCGUUGAGACACAANNN
rnacentral:lncRNA from 1 species